rnacentral:rRNA from 2 species
UGCAUCAGGCGAUGAAGGACGUGAUACGCUGCGAUAAGCGUCGGGGAGGUGCGAAUACCCUUUGAUCCGACGAUUUCCGAAUGGGGCAACCCACCUUAGAUAACUAGAAAAUUUGAGCUGUUGGAGCUUUGGUUUUGUUUUGAUGCGGCUUGUAUCGAAGCGAAGCUUCGCAAGCGCGACUGCGCGUCGGCCCAUGUGGGCCGCCCCCGCGGAGCGCCAGCAUUCUGCAAGAAUGCGGUACGGCGCGUGAGCGAGAAAAUCCUGCGAGAACAUCUCAUCUUUCUAGUUAUCGUAAUAAGGUAUCUAACUCUGAAUACAUAGGGGUUAGAAGCGAACCUGGGGAACUGAAACAUCUAAGUACCCAGAGGAAAGGACAUCAAACGAGACUCCGCUAGUAGUGGCGAGCGAACGCGGACCAG